AUUGAACGCUGGCGGCAGGCCUAACACAUGCAAGUCGAACGAGUGGCGGACGGGUGAGUAAUGUCUGGGAAACUGCCCGCUGGCGGGGGAUAACUACUGGAAACGGUAGCUCAUACCGCAUACCAUCGGAUGUGCCCCGAUGGGAUUAGCUAGUAGGUGGGGUAACGGCUCACCUAGGCGACAAUCCCUAGCUGGUCUGAGAGGAUGACCCGCCAAACUGGAACUGAGACACGGUCCAGAUUCCUACGGGAGGCAGCAGUGGGGAAGAUUGGACAAUGGGCGCAAGCCGGAUGCAUCCAUGCCGCGUGUAUGAAGAAGGCUGUCGGGUUGUAAAGUACUUUCAGCGAGGAGGCGUUACUCGCAGAAGAAGGAUCGGCUAACUCCGUGCCAGCAGCCGCGGUAAUUC
rnacentral:rRNA from 1 species